UUUUUUUAUAAACAGUUCGUGCUGAAGAGCGCCUUAUAGGUAAUAUCUGUGAAGCCGGGUACUACAGCAAAAAUCAGCUUAAAAAAUCAAUUAUACCAUAUGUUUGAACCCUUAAAAGAUUAAAUACCGAUUCAGUUACUACAGGUAAAGUUAUACAACUUAUAAAAAUCAAAGAUCAAAUGUCGAAGUAGGUCUGGAAUUAAAGCUUACUUAUCCAGCAACUCACUUUUAAAAUUGAUCUAAUUUUAACUGAGAACUCCUAUCGAUAUUUUGAACACUUCAAAACAAUACAUUGAAAAUAAAUUCAAAACAAUAAAUUACUUGUGGAGAAAAUUGAUUUCUUGAAAAGGCUGCAGGUUCUAAUGAUGCUGUGUUGUCUGCUUACAGCAGUUUGUGCUGCAUUUCCGUGGGCGCUUUCCACAUAAAUUAAAACUGCAAAUUUUUGUGUUGGCGCAUUUGGCAACAAUUCAACAAAACAGAACAAAACAACAAACAGCAAAGUUCAGAUCGCAUCACCAACAAAUAAAUUUCCACCGAGCUAAACACAAUGGACGGUGGCAACCAAAUCCGAAGUCGAAAUGGCUGCACAAACUGACAAACGGGCGGACGGAGGUAGCGGCUCGGCAACCUCGGAGCAGAGACAACUGAAACUGAAUCAAUGGAACUAUCCAUCAAUCAAUCAACCGCAAAUGAAUUUAAUUUCCAAGCACAAAAGGCUGCGGCUGCACAAGUAAUAGCCAAACAGCCCAAUUGACCUGGAUGAAUUGCGACAUUUUCAAAUGGAGCUCGCCUGGCAGUUCACUAUUGCAAGGAGUAAUUACGAUGUCCUUUAACUUUUCACUCGUCCACUGCCGGUCGGGCACUUGGGUAUAACUUGGAAAAGAACUAUGUCCGGUCCAAAUCCCUUCCCGGAUGUGAGCCGCAGCUAACGAUUACACUGUAUCACUGUCGCCUGUCUGUUUUUGUUUUCUUACACUUAUGGAAACCCAAAUCUUCUCAAACAGGAACUCGAACGCGCGAACGAGCAACUUGAAUAUGAUUGUGAAUAUUUCUCAGA